CCUACGGGAGGCUGCAGUGAGGAAUAUUGGUCAAUGGGCGCGAGCCUGAACCAGCCAAGUAGCGUGAAGGAUGACUGCCCUACGGGUUGUAAACUUCUUUUAUAAAGGAAUAAAGUGAGGCACGUGUGCCUUUUUGUAUGUACUUUAUGAAUAAGGAUCGGCUAACUCCGUGCCAGCAGCCGCGGUAAGACGGAGGAUCCGAGCUUUAUUCGGAUUUAUUGGGUUUAAAGGGAGCGUAGAUGGGUGGUUAAGUCAGUUGUGAAAGUUUGGGGCUCAACCGUAAAAUUGCAAUUGAUACUGGCAGUCUUGAGUACAGUUGAGGUAGGCGGAAUUCGUGGUGUAGCGGUGAAAUGCUUAGAUAUCACGAAGAACUCCGAUUGCGAAGGCAGCUUACUAAACUGCCACUGACAUUGAUGCUCGAAAGUGUGGGUAGCAAACAGGAUUAGAUACCCGGGUAGUC
rnacentral:rRNA from 1 species